UACGAAGGGGGCUAGCGUUGCUCGGAAUCACUGGGCGUAAAGGGUGCGUAGGCGGGUUUUUAAGUGAGGGGUGAAAUCCUGGAGCUCAACUCCAGAACUGCCUUUGAUACUGAAGAUCUUGAGUUAGGGAGAGGUGAGUGGAACUGCGAGUGUAGAGGUGAAAUUCGUAGAUAUUCGCAAGAACACCAGUGGCGAAGGCGGCUCACUGGCCCGAUACUGACGCUGAGGCACGAAAGCGUGGGGAGCGAACAGG
rnacentral:rRNA from 1 species